rnacentral:snRNA from 1 species
CACUCUUCUGGCCAUAUGGCUUAGAUCAAGUGUAGUAUCUGUUCUUAACAGUUUGACAACUGUUACUCUG